AGGAAAGCAGGGGAUCGCAAGACCUUGUGCUCUUGGAGCGGCCGAUGUCUGAUUAGCUAGUUGGUGAGGUAAAGGCUUACCAAGGCGACGAUCAGUAGCUGGUCUGAGAGGACGACCAGCCACACUGGGACUGAGACACGGCCCAGACUCCUACGGGAGGCAGCAGUGGGGAAUUUUGGACAAUGGGGGAAACCCUGAUCCAGCCAUGCCGCGUGAGUGAAGAAGGCCUUCGGGUUGUAAAGCUCUUUCAGCCGGAACGAAACGGUCACGGCUAAUACCUGUGAUCACUGACGGUACCGGAAGAAGAAGCACCGGCUAACUACGUGCCAGCAGCCGCGGUAAUACGUAGGGUGCAAGCGUUAAUCGGAAUUACUGGGCGUAAAGCGUGCGCAGGCGGUUUUGUAAGUCAGAUGUGAAAUCCCCGGGCUUAACCUGGGAACUGCGUUUGAAACUACAAGGCU
rnacentral:rRNA from 1 species